AGGACGAACGCUGGCGGCGUGCCUAAUACAUGCAAGUCGAACGGUAGAGGGGGCAACCCUUGAGAGUGGCGAACGGGUGAGUAAUAUAUCGGAACGUGCCCAGUCGUGGGGGAUAACGUAGCGAAAGUUACGCUAAUACCGCAUACGAUCUAAGGAUGAAAGCGGGGGAUCGCAAGACCUCGCGCGAUUGGAGCGGCCGAUAUCAGAUUAGGUAGUUGGUGAGGUAAAGGCUCACCAAGCCGACGAUCUGUAGCUGGUCUGAGAGGACGACCAGCCACACUGGGACUGAGACACGGCCCAGACUCCUACGGGAGGCAGCAGUGGGGGAAUUUUGGACAAUGGGCGCAAGCCUGAUCCAGCAAUGCCGCGUGAGUGAUGAAGGCCUUCGGGUUGUAAAGCUCUUUUACUCGGGACGAUAAUGACGGUACCGAGAGAAUAAGCCCCGGCUAACUCCGUG
rnacentral:rRNA from 1 species